rnacentral:rRNA from 1 species
UACGGAGGGGACUAGCGUUGUUCGGAAUUACUGGGCGUAAAGCGCACGUAGGCGGAUUGUUUAGUCAGGGGUGAAAUCCCGAGGCUCAACCUCGGAACUGCCUUUGAUACUGGCAAUCUCGAGUCCGGAAGAGGUGAGUGGAAUUCCUAGUGUAGAGGUGAAAUUCGUAGAUAUUAGGAAGAACACCAGUGGCGAAGGCGGCUCACUGGUCCGGUACUGACGCUGAGGUGCGAAAGCGUGGGGAGCAAACA